rnacentral:tRNA from 1 species
GCCCCCGUAGCUCAGUGGAUAGAGCAGCGGUUUCCUAAACCGUUGGUCGGACGUUCGAAUCGUCUCGGGGGCG